UACGUAGGGGGGCAAGCGUUGUCCGGAAUUAUUGGGCGUAAAGAGCGUGUAGGCGGUCCGGUAAGUCGGCUGUGAAAGUCCAGGGCUCAACCCUGGGAUGCCGGUCGAUACUGCCGGACUAGAGUUCGGAAGAGGCGAGUGGAAUUCCCGGUGUAGCGGUGAAAUGCGCAGAUAUCGGGAGGAACACCUAUGGCGAAGGCAGCUCGCUGGGACGUUACUGACACUGAGGCGCGAAAAGCGUGGGGGAGCGAACAGG
rnacentral:rRNA from 1 species